GCCGGAGUGGUGGAAUUGGGAGACGCAGGGGACUCAAAAUCCCCCGGGCCGUGCGCUCGUGAGGGUUCGAAUCCCUCCUCCGGCACCA
rnacentral:tRNA from 1 species